GGAGAGAUGCCGGAGCGGCUGAACGGACCGGUCUCGAAAACCGGAGUNNAAAUCCCCCUCUCUCCGCCA
rnacentral:tRNA from 1 species